rnacentral:rRNA from 1 species
AGUGAACGCUGGCGGUAGGCCUAACACAUGCAAGUCGAACGGCAGCACAGUAAGAGCUUGCUCUUACGGGCGGCGAGUGACGGACGGGUGAGGAAUACAUCGGAAUCUACUUUUUCGUGGGGGAUAACGUAGGGAAACUUACGCUAAUACCGCCUACGACCUACGGGUGAAAGCAGGGGCUCUUCGGACCUUGCGCGAUUGCAUGAGCCGAUGUCUGAUUAGCUAGUUGGCGGGGUAAAGGCCCACCAAGGCGACGAUCCGUAGCUGGUCUGAGAGGAUGAAGAGCGACACUGGAAGUGAGAGACGGUCCAGAGUCCUACGGGAGGCAGCGGUGGGGAAGAUUGGAAAAUGGGGGGAAGCCUGAUCCAGCCAUACCGCGUGGGUGAAGAAGGCCUUCGGGUUGUAAAGCCCUUUUGUUGGGAAAGAAAAGCAGCAGGUUAAUACCCCGCUGUUCUGACGGUACCCAAAGAAUAAGCACCGGCUAACUUCGUG